UACAGAGGUCCCGAGCGUUGUUCGGAUUCAUUGGGCGUAAAGGGCGCGUAGGCGGCAAAUUAAGUCAGCUGUGAAAUCUCCGAGCUUAACUCGGAACGGUCAGCUGAUACUGAUCUGCUAGAGUGCGGAAGGGGCAAUCGGAAUUCUUGGUGUAGCGGUGAAAUGCGUAGAUAUCAAGAGGAACACCUGAGGUGAAGACGGGUUGCUGGGCCGACACUGACGCUGAGUGCGCGAAAGCCAGGGGAGCAAACGGG
rnacentral:rRNA from 1 species